rnacentral:lncRNA from 1 species
CUGGUGGAAAGCAGACUGAACCAGGUUUUCAUCUAGAAUUUUUCCUGUGCUUAGCUUUAUUCCAUUUCUUUUCACCCUGAAAAACUCCUCAGUAUUUGCCGAUGACAAGCAUACCCAUACCAUGAUGCAGCCGCCACCAUGCUGGAAAAAUAAGGAGGCAGUUCGUUACUCAGUGACGUAUUGAAUCUGCCCCAAACAUAAGGUUUCCAGUUUUCAUGUCACCUGUCCAAGUACAGUGAAAUACCUUUCUUGCAAGUUCCAAAACCAACAAUGCAGUAAUCAAUAUCAAUGUAGCAUUAAAGAUAACAAGGUAGGGAACUGGAGUGAUGGAGGUAGAUAUGUAUAGGGGACAGGGAUACUGGAGUGAUGGAGGUAGAUAUGUAUAGGGGACAGGGAUACUGGAGUGAUGGAGGUAGAUAUGUAUAGGGGACAGGGAUACUGGAGUGAUGGAGGUAGAUAUGUAUAGGGGGAAGGGGACAGGGAUACUGGAGUGAUGGUGGUAGAUAUGUAUAGGGGACAGGGAUACUGGAGUGAUGGAGGUAGAUAUGUAUAGGGGGAAGGGGACAGGGAUACUGGAGUGAUGGUGGUAGAUAUGUA